CCUUCUCCCCUUGGAGACAGGACCUGGUAGAAAGCUCAGGUCAUGUGUGCCAGGGAACGCUUUGUCACACCAAGGCCACCUAAUGGUUCCUUCACAAGCGCCUCACACUUUCAGAUCCAGGUCUUCCAAGAGCUACAGAGUCGAACAGAAGCUGCAUCUAUCUGGCGUGCAGGCUGUCACCUGUGACAGAGAGGAAAGGCAGGAUGGGGACAAAGACCAGGAUCUCACUAUCAGUUUAGGAAAUUCUCUGGUCUUCAUGCUGGCUUCUGACCCUUGUGUCGCCGAGUUUCCGUGAGUGCCAGCAGUUUCAAUUACAGGUUUACAAAGCUAA
ensembl:lncRNA novel transcript